AGGGGCUGUGAAAUCCAGCAGGAGCCUAGCCAGAGGUCAAAACUCCAGCUUUCGUCAGCAUAGGAGUACCUGGAAAGCUCACAGACAACAAUAAGACAUUCUGCAGCCCUGUUCAUUGCUUUUCAGGAAGUGCCUUUGACAUCUGACAGGACCACAUGGUACAUCCUCAAUAGAUAUUACAAAUGGCUGCAGAAGCUUGGAAAUCUCGUGUCGGGUUCUGCAUUCGACUAGGGAACCGGGACCGACACAGAAGACCCCUUUGUCCUGCUAUGACAUCUAGAGGCUAACAGGAGACAACUAAGCCCACCACUCAUCACAUCUCUUGGGAGAUGGCAAAGCAGCUGUUGCAUGGGAAGGAGGAGACAGAAGAGGCAGAGCAGGAUGUGCCGGGGUGCACCAGCCACACAUAACCCCACAGUCUAGGCAGAGGAAGCCAAGCCCCUCCUCAGCCCUGCCGAACAUGCUACAACUGGAGCACCAGUGUGAAAGGGAGCAGCUCAGCUCAGUCUAGGCAGAUGCCAAAAAUGGAGGAUGCACAUUGUAGGCUCUAGUCCAGAAGCAGCUGAAGCCCCUGACUGCAGAUCCCCGAGGUACCGAGACCCAGACCCAACCCCGUCCCUGGGUGCCUGCAGACGUGCAAGAGAGCUCAGAGUCUCUGGGAGUUUCCCACGCCAGGAGUCCAGAAACCCCCAGCCCAUGGCCUAGAGACAUCUCGUAGGAAGUAACUGGGGAGAACUAGCCAUUGUCAUGCUGAGUGAUGUCAGAUGUUCUGGUUGGAUCCCCACUGACUCAAUGCCAAAGACAUUGGCCAUGGACAAGGCCCUGGGCUAGGACCCGGGGGAGUAACGAAGGCCCGGUUCCCCCCGUCCUGGCCGCCAUCCAUCCUUGGGUGGCAGCCCACCUCCCUAAUGUGCCACUAGACUGCACAGCCCCAAGAGAAGGGGCAGCCAUCUUGUCUCUGAACUCUCAGCCAAACAGCCCUGCACUGAAGGGCAGCGAUAUUGACUCUGGUCAUUGGGCCACACAGCACUGAGGGAGAGAGCAGCCAUAUUAUCUGGAGCCAUCGAGCCACACAGGCGUGAGAGGCAGGAUAGCGGCAUGGACACUGGUCUCUGGAUCACACAGCCCCGACGGAGAGGGCGUCCGCACGGACUUUGGUCAUUGGGCCACACAGGCCCGAUGGAGAGAGGGGGCCGCACGGACUCUGGUUGUUGGGCCACACAGCCCCGAUGGAGGGGGGGGGCCGCACGGACUCUGGUUGUUGGGCCACACAGCCCUGAGGGGGAGGGCAGCCAUUUUGACUCUGGCCAUUAUGCAAAACCACCCUGAGGCUAAGGGCAUUUGGUUUCAGCCAUGGGACCUCGCCCCUUCACCUCUAAGGCAUCGCUCAUCUGUCACCAUGAGAGUGAUCCCAUGACAUGAGACUUUCAGGGUCAAGAUGCAAACAUGAGCUGAAGCAAGGAGUGGCACGUGACCCCUCUAAGAGCUCCUCCCACUCUUCUACCAAUCUGGGGGUGUUUUAUUGCCAUCAAUCUGCCUCAGGAUUUGAGCAAUAGGGGAAAGUUCUGGGGCAGAGUGACUCAUCCGGAAGUGGGUCAUGUGACCCUGUUGGUGUCCCUAGGCCUAAGUGAACCAAAGUUGUGACUCUAGGCCUGAGUGAACCAAAGUUCUUCCAUGCUGUAAACUUUAACCAACCUAAGAUGCUAAUAAACAGCAAGCAAAAUGUGUAACUGUCAGCUUUCUUAGCUUGCAGCUGCAGUAUACCUCGAAACAGCAAAAAGCGGCUGUAAGACAAGG